GACGAAGGUGGCGAGCGUUGUUCGGAAUCACUGGGCAUAAAGAGCACGUAGGCGGCUAAUUCAGUCGGAUGUGAAAUACCUCGGCUCAACCGAGGAACUGCGUCCGAUACUGCUUGGCUUGAGGUCCGGAGGGGAGAGUGGAAUUCCCGGUGGAGCGGUGAAAUGCGUAGAGAUCGGGAAGAACGCCGGCGGCGAAAGCGACUCUCUGGUCGGAAUCUGACGCUGAGGUGCGAAAGCUAGGGGAGCAAACGGG
rnacentral:rRNA from 1 species